UCGUAGUCCAUGCCGUAAACGAUGUGUGUUAGACGUUGGAAAUUUAUUUUCAGUGUCGCAGCGAAAGCGAUAAACACACCGCCUGGGGAGUACGACCGCAAGGUUAAAACUCAAAUGAAUUGACGGGGACCCGCACAAGUAGUGGAGCAUGUGGUUUAAUUCGAAGAUACGCGCAGAACCUUACCAACACUUGACAUGUUCGUCGCGACUUUAAGAGAUUAAAGUUUUCGGUUCGGCCGGACGAAACACAGGUGCUGCAUGGCUGUCGUCAGCUCGUGUCGUGAGAUGUUGGGUUAAGUCCCGCAACGAGCGCAACCCUCACUUUUAGUUGCCAUCAUUAAGUUGGGCACUCUGAAAGAACUGCCAGUGAUAAGCUGGAGGAAGGUGGGGAUGACGUCAAGUCCUCAUGGCCCUUACGUGUUGGGCUACACACGUGCUACAAUGGUAUCUACAACAGGAAGCAAGACUGCGAGGUCAAGCAAAUCCUUAAAAGAUACCUCAGUUCGGAUUGCACUCUGCAACUCGAGUGCAUGAAGCUGGAAUUACUAGUAAUCGUGGAUCAGCGUGCCACGGUGAAUGCGUUCCCGGGUCUU
rnacentral:rRNA from 1 species